rnacentral:rRNA from 1 species
UACGGAGGGUGCAAGCGUUAUCCGGAUUCACUGGGUUUAAAGGGUAGCGUAGGCGGAUUAGAAAGUCCGUUGUGAAAUCUCUGAGCUUAACUACGGCGAAAUUGCGGUGGAGUACUAUUAAUCUUGGAAUACGUGUGGAGGUUAGCGGGAAUAUGUCAUGUAGCGGUGAAAUGCAUAGAUAUGACAUAGAACACCAAUUGCGAAGGCAGCCUGGCUACACAGAUAUUGACGCUGAGGCACGAAAGCGUGGGGAUCAAACAGG